CUUUACUGUGGUUUCCGUGGGAAGGAACAGGCGAGGCAGGGUAAGCAGGCCUGCGAUGGGCUGGUCUGAACGAUCCCAGCGGCUCUGGGGUGUGGGGGCUGGCACUGGUCGCCUGGCGGCUGGCCCUGGGUGAUCAGUGCAGGGGAGAGUGGCUGUGGAUUGGUUGGUUUGCAUAUGAAGUCAUCCUCUGGUGAGUUGGUGCUUAUCUCUAGAACUAGCUAACUCAGGGAGCGAUGGUCCCUCCCUGACCAGCAAGGCCGCAGAUGUCAGAGUGUCGGGAAUACAGAAGGUGUAGUUAGCACACACCCUAACUGCCGGGUGAUGAGGGCAAGGCUCUUCUCUGACCCUCGGUUUCCUUCUCUCUGAGUGGUGUGGCUGGGGCUCCCGUAGCCUCUUUCGGGGGUAGGGACCUUCCUGACAUCCUUGGAGGUGGACUGCUGUCUGCCCCCAGCUGGCCCUGUGCAGCCCUGUGCUGGGGGAGCAUGCCGGGUCUUGGGGGCUCUGACAUCCGUCAGGCAGGGAGCCGGGCCCUGUUGGUGAGAGGCUGGGAGGGGCUCGAGCGAGUGGGUGAACCAGGAGGGCUUCUUGGGGGUGAUGAAGUUCGGCUUUGGGACCCCAUCGUGGGGGAAGGCGGUCAAGGCGGGUUUUGGAGUCUGGGCCUCGAACAGUGUGUUGGGGGCUGAGUUCUCUUUCAGGCAACCAUCGGGGUUGUGGGAGUUGAAGUUUGGGAGAUGGGCUGCAGCCAGGAUGGGGGCCUUCGACCCACCACGGAGCAGAGGGUGCCCGCCUCCUGGGGUGCAAGCCUCCCCUCCGCUCAUGGGGUGGGGACCUGGGCCUCUCAGUUCCCAGCUCAGCCCGCUGCGGGUACCCCGAGCUGGGCCGAGGUGUCCUGCCACAGAAGUGGCACCGUUGUGGGCUUCGUCCAGUUAGCAGGAAGAAGUUUUGCCCGAGAUACGGUUUGCUUUUUCGGUGUUUUGGUGGUUCUCCUUUUUGCUCAGCCGUGGUCAGCCACAGUAGGCGAGGGGUUGCAUCACGGGGCCACGGGGCCGGCCACAGGUGUCACGCACCACCUAUGCAGACAUCUAGGAUCUGGAUCUUUUUGGGGUGUUGCUUGGGUUCUCAGUUAUUAGCAAACCUUCCUGCUCCCAGGGGCUCCGAAUGACCACCGAUGUCUUCUCUCUCGUGGUUCCACGUUGACCGAGCUGGCUAGUGGGCCCUGUUCCACCUGAUGGUGGCUGUUGGCCUCUGGGGGCUGGGCUGGCUGGAUGUCACCAUCUGGAAUGUCUCUGUCAUGUCUGGAGCCUUGGGGAAAUGGCUGGGCCUCUCCCUCUCCACGUGGCCUCUCCACGUGGCCAUCAGAGCAGGAUGGCCAUGUUCCUUUCAUGGCGACUCAGGCUCCCCAAAGUGCAGAGCCGAAACUGCCGGACCGGACCUUCUAAAGCUCAGGCCCGGAACUGAGCCUGCAUCCUGUCCACCACAUCCCAUUGGUUUGCUGGAGCCCCAGGUCAGCCCAGAUAUGUGUCCGGGGUGGAGGUGGGGACCCCACUAGGGUGUGAACACUGGGAGGGCCCAGUUCAUGGGGCCGUCCUUUCAGACUAGCUGCCACAAAGGGAGCAGAGGGCAGGAGCCCGGAUUGGGGCAGGCCGAGGGGGGAGACCACAUCCACUCAAGCCGGGUGACUGACCGUGGGCAGGUGGCUUUGCCGUCCCAGGUGCCCUUUGUCAUUUGCGCCCCGGGGCAGUCAUAGGUACAGACGCGCUCUGAGCACGCCAGGUUUCAGCUCUCUGUUCCUGCCGGCAGGGAUCACUCUGUCCUGCCAGCUACCCAUCCCGUCGCGUCCCGUCCAGCAGGCCCAGGGAGUCACUUCCAGGAAAUUCCAGCGAAGGUCCAGGUUUAAAAGCGAGGGGUGUUUGGGGAGCCCACGAGGAGGGAGACGCCGAGGGGGUGGCCAAAGGGCCCAGCAUCGGUGAAAUUCUGCUUAUGAUUGUUACAAAUAGGGCUGCUAUGAUCGUUUCUGUAGGAGUCUGUUCCUAUGGUUUUAUUUCUUUUGGGUAAAUCCCCAGGAAUGGAAUCGUGCCAUCCUAUGGCUAAAGGUGGAACCAAGCCAAAUGUCCAUUAAUGGAUGAAUAAACAAAAUAGGGUAUAUCCACACAAUGGAGUAUUAUUCAGCCGUUAAAAAGGAAUGAAGCACGGACACACGCUACAACAUGGGUGAGCCUUGAAAAUACCAUGCUAGACGAAAGAAGCUGGACGCCAAAGGUCACGUGGUGGAUGAUCCCCUUUACGUGAACUCUCCAGAACGGAGGAAAUCUGGAUGCACAAAGUGACACUAGGCUGCGGACACAGAGGGAAGACGGGGUGAGGACGCAGCGAGAAGCUGGCAGCCUGCGAGCCCAGGAGAGAGGCCUCUGGAGAGUGGUGCCGAGCCCUCGGCCCUGGACUUGGAGGCUGCAGAGCUGCGAGAAAACAAUGCCUGCUGUUGGAGCCCCCAGUCGGUGGUAUUUUGUUCCAGCCGCCCAAGCAGACUAAAACGGGUCUUAUAUCUCAAAAGUGGGUUUGAAAAGACAUUUGGUGAAUGGUACUGUGUCUUAGACACUGUUCUGGGUGCUCAGCUUGCAGCAAUAAACAAAAUAGAC
ensembl:lncRNA